rnacentral:rRNA from 1 species
GUUUACAGCCGUACCACUCUGAUCACGCUUUAUCGUCUCUGAUCUCACAAGCUAAGCAGGGUUAGGCCUGGUUAGUAGUUGGAUGGGAGGAAGGCAAAGAAACAAAUGAAAAAGGCUUGGGGGAGGGAGCA